rnacentral:lncRNA from 1 species
CUUUGGUUUUGGGCCUAGGUAGGCCUAGGCCUGCUAUUGUAAUCUAAAAGUGCAUCGAUCCAGUGGCAGUAGGGCAUUUCCACCUUCAGAAAUUGGCCUGAAUAAUUUUAAAUAAGUUGAAAAAAUUCAUCUGGAUGUUAAUAGUUAGUAGGUUGUAAAGGUCAUCGCACAUUCAUCUGCUAGACGGAAGUUAUGAAAUGCAGGUUGAGAAUGAGACCUGACAGGUCUUAAAAAUGUUCUAAUGUCCACCUUUGCCGCUGGGGUGCACCUAGAUGUACAAGUAUUUGUAAUAUUUGUUUUAAUGGUAACAUAUGCGAUGACAAGACAGGUAACUGUAUUUGUGCACCAGGGUUUAAAGGAGAAAGCUGUGAAAAUAAUUUAAAAGCAAAUCGAGGUGAGGCUUUGCUGGUUUAUGAUGAGGUUGCAUCAUUAUAUGAACAUCUCAACCAUGACCAUAAUGGUUCCCAAUGAGACUGAAAGAUCCUUCUGUCUUUAAAAAGACCAUAUGGCCAGUUACACAAGUGUAAUGAUCAAAGAGAAGAUGACGAUCUAAGCUGUGAAUUAUUUGAAGGUCAUUUACAAGAUGGAAGGCAGCUGACUCGUGUGGUACAUAAUGCAAGAAUUCCUUUCAUACAUAAUCAAUAAAAGCUAAAAUGGUGCCUGAGGAUCGUUACCAAGCAAGAAGACUGUACAGGCCUUCCUGAUAAAUACACCAAUUCUUGAGGGGAUUGCUGAAAACGACAAGAAGUAAAAGCUGUAAAACAGUAUAUUCAAUGAGCCCAAAAAACAAAGGGAAAAAAAAAAAAAAGAAUUUGUAAGGUCAUUAUGAUUAUUAUGCAAAUUCGUCUCAGGCAAAUUUAAGGGAGCAAGAAUCAAUAAAAUCAAACCCUCAGCAAUUACUGGAGUUUUAUGUAGCAUUUUGCAUUUGGUUAUUAAUAUGGAUAGGCACAUUUUAGAGCUUUUUAAACUGAGCUAGAUUCUUAUGUGCUCAAAAGAGGAACUGCUCUAGUUUAAUAUACAAAUGCUCAAUCAUUAAGUGAAACCUUAGUCACUGCCCCAGUUUUAAUGAGUGUUGUACAAUUAUCAAUGCCCUGAUAGUUGACUUCCAUGCCACUAUUCUGACUAAUAAUAAUAAUAUAAUAUGUCGUUCUUAUAUAGCGCCUAAUGCCUUAACAAAGCCUCUAAGCGCUUCAGCAUUAAUUGUAGCAACUAAAUUCAUAACAUUUGUGUUGUAUAAAAAAGAAAUUGCAUUUUUUUAAGCAUCCAUUAUCUAUUAAUUUAGAACUCCACCAAAAGUGCCCAUCACAAAAGCCCAAAUUUUUAGUCAGUCACUGGCAGCCCCGGAUACACUUGGUACAUUUUCGAAAGUGAUGGGCCCCCACCCCAGCCGGCUGCAUCCCCACAUGCCAUAGAAUCUGCCUCCAUCACAUGGCAAUAAAGAAUUAAAUACAUAAUUAACCACCAUAGUAGGGCUUAUGAAAUACAUGUAAAGACAUUACAUAAAUACAUGUUAAAAUCGAUUAAAACAAUGUGUAUAGCCCUAGUAAUAAAUCGGAUAUUUGGAUGGAAAAGGACCAUCGAGUAGACCAUAAAGAAUGAUUAUCAUUUUAUUCAGAUUGUCCUUGAUGUUAUUCAGACGUUUCUGAGCAAUAUAAGUUGUGGUAUCAAAGUGAUAUUUUAUUAUUAAAAUGAAUUAUUUUGUCUACCUAA